GUGGGGAAUAUUGCACAAUGGGGGAAACCCUGAUGCAGCGACGCCGCGUGAGCGAUGAAGUAUUUCGGUAUGUAAAGCUCUAUCAGCAGGGAAGAUAAUGACGGUACCUGACUAAGAAGCUCCGGCUAAAUACGUGCCAGCAGCCGCGGUAAUACGUAUGGAGCAAGCGUUAUCCGGAUUUACUGGGUGUAAAGGGAGCGUAGGCGGUCCUGCAAGUCUGAUGUGAAAGGCCGGGGCUCAACCCCGGGACUGCAUUGGAAACUGUAGGACUAGAGUGUCGGAGGGGUAAGUGGAAUUCCUAGUGUAGCGGUGAAAUGCGUAGAUAUUAGGAGGAACACCAGUGGCGAAGGCGGCUUACUGGACGACUACUGACGCUGAGGCUCGAAAGCGUGGGGAGCAAACAGGA
rnacentral:rRNA from 1 species